GAUGAACGCUGGCGGCAUGCCUAAUACAUGCAAGUCGUGCGAGAAGCUAUCUUCGGAUAGCGGACAGCGGCGGACGGGUGAGUAACACGUAGAAAUAUACCCCAAGGUGAGGGAUAAGCAUCGGAAACGGUGUCUAAUACCGCAUAUUAUCUAAGGAUAAAAGAUUUAUCGCCAUGGGAAUAGUCUGCGUCUGAUUAGCUAGUUGGUAGGGUAAAGGCCUACCAAGGCGAUGAUCGGUAGCUGGUUUGAGAGGAUGAUCAGCCACACUGGGACUGAGACACGGCCCAGACUCCUACGGGAGGCAGCAGUAGGGAAUUUUCCACAAUGGACGAAAGUCUGAUGGAGCAAUGCCGCGUGCAGGAUGAAGGUCUUCGGGUCGUAAAGCUCUGUCCUCAAGGAAGAUAAUGACGGUACUUGAGGAGGAAGCCCCGGCUAACUACGUG
rnacentral:rRNA from 1 species